UACGGGGGGUGCAAGCGUUAAUCGGAAUUACUGGGCGUAAAGCGCACGCAGGUGGCUGAGAAAGUCGAUUGUGAAAGCCCUGGGCUUAACCUGGGAACUGCGUCCGAUACUGGCAGGCUUGAAUUCGGGAGAGGGAUGCGGAAUUCCAGGUGUAGCGGUGAAAUGCGUAGAUAUCUGGAGGAACACCGGUGGCGAAGGCGGCAUCCUGGACCGAGAUUGACGCUGAGGCGCGAAAGCCAGGGGAGCAAACGGG
rnacentral:rRNA from 1 species